UCCGCCCGUCGCGCCGGGGGAGGCAGGCUCGGACGGCCCGCGGAGCUGUAGCCGCCCUUCUCUCCCUCCCUGCUGACGCCAUGCUCCAGUUCCUGCCAUUUCAUCUCUAAAACAGCGGGGUUGAUGCAGAUGAUCCCCAAGAUCUCUGGCUAUUAACCUGUGACCAGACAUCAUGUCCUAGUGCUUAAGAGCUUGGAUUUACUCUUGGCAACGUGGUGGGAAUGUAUCUGGCUCAGAACUAUGACAUACCAAACCUGGCUAAAAAGCUUGAAGAAAUUAAAAAGGAUGUGGACGCCAAGAAGAAACCCCCUAGUUCAUGAGGCCGACUCCAGGACUGCCUUCUGGAUAAACUGAUUCUCCUGUUCUUGAGGGCCUCCUAUACCAUCUGAACCAAAAGCUUUUGUUUUAAUCUCCAGCCUCAGCAGUUUUCUUCUUUGCUAGACCUUGCAUUGCCUUACAGCACAAAUGGAGCCACAAGUAAAGAACAGCCCUUACUUUUCCAACAUCCUCACUUCUUCCCUUCCUCCUUCCAGCCACUUGGGAGGUCCUGAGAAUGGAAUUAUGGUGCUAGAUUAGUAAACAUGAUCUUUAAUUAGCAGUCUCUCCCUUAUUCUUCAGGAUUUCUACUACCAUUUUCAAAAGAAAAAUUGAUGAGUUUUGUAUAGCUGAUGAGAUAUAAAUAAUGCUGAUUUCAUAGUCUAGCAAUUAUGUUGAGUGUUUAAACAGUUGGUACUAAAUUAUGUUGUUUCAAAGUAGUAAUUAAAGUGAAAAUCUAGAAGCCAGUUUCUGGUAAAUUAUCCACUAAUUUUAUCUUGUUGUCAGGAAGCUUCAUAGUUGCUAAUUUAACCAAUAAAUCAAUUUGCUGUUCAUUAAUCAAGAAACUGUGUUCUGAGAACCCUAUCAGGAACUGGGGAAUUUAAAAGUAUUUAAAAUAAUGGCCUUUGUUCUCAGUGGAAUUCAUAGUCUAGCAUGCAUGUUUUUUUGUAAUGUUACAUUUGAUCUGGCUCUGUUCUUUGGUAAGAAUCAUACUUACUUUAUGGGAUUACAGGCACAUUUGACAUUACAUGGUAGGUAAAUGAGAAGUUGUCUAUAAAGGAGAUUUUGUGUCUUUUUAAAUCUAAAAAAUGUAUUUACAUUAUAACUUCA